rnacentral:rRNA from 1 species
AGUGAACGCUGGCGGUAGGCCUAACACAUGCAAGUCGAACGGCAGCACAGUAAGAGCUUGCUCUUACGGGUGGCGAGUGGCGGACGGGUGAGGAAUACAUCGGAAUCUACUUUUUCGUGGGGGAUAACGUAGGGAAACUUACGCUAAUACCGCAUACGACCUACGGGUGAAAGCAGGGGAUCUUCGGACCUUGCGCGAUUGAAUGAGCCGAUGUCGGAUUAGCUAGUUGGCGGGGUAAAGGCCCACCAAGGCGACGAUCCGUAGCUGGUCUGAGAGGAUGAUCAGCCACAGUGGAACUGGGCCACGGUCCAGACUCCUACGGGAGGCAGCAGUGGGGAAUAUUGGACAAUGGGCGCAAGCCUGAUCCAGCCAUACCGCGUGGGUGAAGAAGGCCUUCGGGUUGUAAAGCCCUUUUGUUGGGAAAGAAAAGCAGCAGGUUAAUACCCCGCUGUUCUGACGGUACCCAAAGAAUAAGCACCGGCUAACUUCGUG